rnacentral:rRNA from 1 species
UACGUAGGGGGCAAGCGUUGUCCGGAUUUAUUGGGCGUAAAGAGCGUGUAGGCGGCUAGACAGGUCCGCUGUGAAAACUCGAGGCUCAACCUCGAGACGUCGGUGGAAACCGUCUGGCUAGAGUCCGGAAGAGGAGAGUGGAAUUCCCGGUGUAGCGGUGAAAUGCGCAGAUAUCGGGAAGAACACCCGUGGCGAAGGCGGCUCUCUGGGACGGUACUGACGCUGAGACGCGAAAGCGUGGGGAGCGAACAGG